CCUGGCUCACGAUGAACGCUAGCUACAGGCCUAACACAUGCAAGUCGAGGGGCAGCAUGGGCUUAGCUUGCUAAGCCUGAUGGCGACCGGCGCACGGGUGAGUAACGCGUAUCCGACCUUCCGGCGGCCCGGGUCCAGCCUUUCGAAAGAAAGAUUAAUCCCCGAUGGUGUCAGGCAGUUCCAUGACAGCCUGACUAAAGAGUUAUCGGCCGCCGAUGGGGAUGCGUUCCAUUAGCUUGUUGGCGGGGUAACGGCCCACCAAGGCGACGAUGGAUAGGGGUUCUGAGAGGAAGGUCCCCCACAUUGGGACUGAGACACGGCCCAAACUCCUACGGGAGGCAGCAGUGAGGAAUAUUGGUCAAUGGGCGCGAGCCUGAACCAGCCAAGUAGCGUGGAGGAUGACUGCCCUACGGGUUGUAAACUCCUUUUGCAGGGGGAUAAAGUGUGCCACGCGUGGCAUAUUGCAGGUACCCUGCGAAUAAGCAUCGGCUAACUCCGUGCCAGCAGCCGCGGUAAUACGGAGGAUGCGAGCGUUAUCCGGAUUUAUUGGGUUUAAAGGGAGCGCAGACGGCCCCUUAAGUCAGCUGUGAAAGUUUGCGGCUCAACCGUAAAAUUGCAGUUGAAACUGUGGGGCUUGAGUACGGUCGCGGCAUGCGGAAUUCGUGGUGUAGCGGUGAAAUGCAUAGAUAUCACGAAGAACCCCGAUUGCGAAGGCAGCAUGCCAGCCCGCCACUGACGUUGAGGCUCGAAGGUGCGGGUAUCAAACAGGAUUAGAUACCCUGGUAGUCCGCACGGUAAACGAUGGACACCCGCUGUCGGCGAUAUACAGUCGGCGGCCAAGCGAAAGCGUUAAGUGUCCCACCUGGGGAGUACGCCGGCAACGGUGAAACUCAAAGGAAUUGACGGGGGCCCGCACAAGCGGAGGAACAUGUGGUUUAAUUCGAUGAUACGCGAGGAACCUUACCCGGGCUUGAACUGCGCCUGAAUGUGCCGGAAACGGUACAGCCGCAAGGCAGGCGCGGAGGUGCUGCAUGGUUGUCGUCAGCUCGUGCCGUGAGGUGUCGGCUUAAGUGCCAUAACGAGCGCAACCCCUUCCGGCAGUUGCCAUCAGGUGAUGCUGGGUACUCUGCCGGUACUGCCAUCGUAAGAUGCGAGGAAGGUGGGGAUGACGUCAAAUCAGCACGGCCCUUACGUCCGGGGCUACA
rnacentral:rRNA from 1 species